rnacentral:rRNA from 1 species
UACGGAGGGUGCAAGCGUUGUCCGGAUUUAUUGGGUUUAAAGGGUGCGUAGGCGGCCCGUUAAGUCAGUGGUGAAAGCCUCCAGCUCAACUGGAGAACUGCCAUUGAUACUGACGGGCUUGAGUACAGACGAGGUUGGCGGAAUUGAUUGUGUAGCGGUGAAAUGCGCAGAUAUCAGGAGGAACACCAAUGGCGAAGGCAGCUCGCUGGGACGGUACUGACGCUGAGACGCGAAAGCGUGGGGAGCAAACAGG